rnacentral:rRNA from 1 species
AACGAACGCUGGCGGCAGGCUUAACACAUGCAAGUCGAGCGCCCCGCAAGGGGAGCGGCAGACGGGUGAGUAACGCGUGGGAAUCUACCGAGCCCUGCGGAAUAGCUCCGGGAAACUGGAAUUAAUACCGCAUACGCCCUACGGGGAAAGAUUUAUCGGGGUUUGAUGAGCCCGCGUUGGAUUAGCUAGUUGGUGGGGUA